GAUCAAGCGAAUAAGUGCAUGUGGUGGAUGCCUUGGCGAUUACAGGCGAUGAAGGACGUGGAAGCCUGCGAAAAGCUUCGGGGAGCUGGCAAACAAGCUUUGAUCCGGAGAUGUCCGAAUGGGGAAACCCGGCCCGCAAGGGUCAACCUUGGCUGAAUAUAUAGGCCAAGCGUGGCGAACCUGGUGAACUGAAACAUCUAAGUAGCCAGAGGAAAAGAAAUCAACCGAGAUUCCCAAAGUAGUGGCGAGCGAAAUGGGAGCAGCCUCCAAUUUUUAGCACUCGAACUAGUCGAACCGUCUGGAAAGUCGGGCCAUAGUGGGUGAUAGCCCCGUAGGCGAAAGUUUGAGUGUGGAACUAGGAUUGGAACAAGUAGGGCGGGACACGUGAAAUCCUGUCUGAACAUGGGGGGACCAUCCUCCAAGGCUAAAUACUCGUAAUCGACCGAUAGUGAACCAGUACCGUGAGGGAAAGGCGAAAAGAACCCCGGGAGGGGAGUGAAAUAGAUCCUGAAACCGCAUGCAUACAAACAGUGGGAGCGGACUUGUUCCGUGACUGCGUACCUUUUGUAUAAUGGGUCAGCGACUUACAUUCAGUAGCGAGCUUAACCGUAUAGGGGAGGCAUAGCGAAAGCGAGUCUUAAUAGGGCGAUCAGUUGCUGGGUGUAGACCCGAAACCAGAUGAUCUACUCAUGGCCAGGAUGAAGCGGGGGUAACACCUCGUGGAGGUCCGAACCCACUAAUGUUGAAAAAUUAGGGGAUGAGCUGUGGGUAGGGGUGAAAGGCUAAACAAAUCUGGAAAUAGCUGGUUCUCUCCGAAAACUAUUUAGGUAGUGCCUCACGUAUCACCUUCGGGGGUAGAGCACUGUUAUGGCUAGGGGGCCGUUUAGGCCUACCAAACCAUGGCAAACUCCGAAUACCGAAGAGUGCGAGCGUGGGAGACAGACAUCGGGUGCUAACGUCCGGUGUCGAGAGGGAAACAACCCAGACCCUCAGCUAAGGUCCCAAAGACACAGUUAAGUGGCAAACGAAGUGGGAAGGCUAAAACAGUCAGGAGGUUGGCUUAGAAGCAGCCAUCCUUUAAAGAAAGCGUAAUAGCUCACUGAUCGAGUCGUCCUGCGCGGAAGAUGUAACGGGGCUCAAACUGUGCACCGAAGCUAGGGAUCUACACGCAAGUGUAGAUGGUAGGAGAGCGUUCCGUAGGCCUGCGAAGGUGGCUUGAGAAGGCUGCUGGAGGUAUCGGAAGUGCGAAUGCUGACAUGAGUAGCGAUAAAGGGAGUGAAAGGCUCCCUCGCCGUAAGCCCAAGGUUUCCUGCGCAACGUUCAUCGGCGCAGGGUGAGUCGGCCCCUAAGGUGAGGCAGAAAUGCGUAGCUGAUGGGAAACUGGUUAAUAUUCCAGUACCUUUGUUCAAUGCGAUGUGGGGACGGAGAAGGUUAACUCGGCCGGGUGUUGGAUGUCCCGGUUGAAGCGUGUAGACGUGCUGCUUAGGCAAAUCCGGGCGGCUUAGUUGAGGCGUGAUAACGAAACACCCUUCGGGGUGCCAAGUGAGUGAUACCCUGCUUCCAGGAAAAGCCACUAAGCUUCAGUUGAACGAAGACCGUACCGCAAACCGACACAGGUGGGCGGGAUGAAAAUUCCAAGGCGCUUGAGAGAACUCAGGAGAAGGAACUCGGCAAAUUGACACCGUAACUUCGGGAUAAGGUGUGCCCUCAGUACGUGUAGCGCCUCGCGCGUGAAGCGGAAGGGGGUUGCAAAAAAAUGGUGGCUGCGACUGUUUAAUAAAAACACAGCACUCUGCAAACACGAAAGUGGACGUAUAGAGUGUGACGCCUGCCCGGUGCCGGAAGGUUAAGUGAUGGGGUGCAAGCUCUUGAUCGAAGCCCCGGUAAACGGCGGCCGUAACUA
rnacentral:rRNA from 1 species